rnacentral:rRNA from 1 species
UACGAAGGGGGCUAGCGUUGCUCGGAAUUACUGGGCGUAAAGCGCGUGUAGGCGGCCCGGUAAGUCCGCUGUGAAAGUCCAGGGCUCAACCCUGGGAUGCCGGUGGAUACUGUCGGGCUCGAGUCCGGAAGAGGCGAGUGGAAUUCCUGGUGUAGCGGUGAAAUGCGCAGAUAUCAGGAGGAACACCAAUGGCGAAGGCAGCUCGCUGGGACGUGACUGACGCUGAGACGCGAAAGCGUGGGGAGCAAACAGG